rnacentral:miRNA from 1 species
UGCCGCCUGACACACUGACGACAC